rnacentral:lncRNA from 1 species
AAAUUUGCAAAUUGCACACGACCUUCAAAAUUAGCUCCAGAAUACACCACCUUUCGAUUUAAUUGUAAUUUGCACAUGCGUUGACCAUCAUCUUAAACGUUGUUGACGUGGCAACCGGAAAUUGCAGACGUGGACUAACCGCCGAGCAUGUAAAACGACGUCGUUUUAUCAAGUUUUUCUAAAUAAAAAAAAAAUAAAAAAAAAAGGAAAAAAAAAACGUUUCUGCUCUCUCUCUCUCCACACAGAGACGCCACUCCCUUCUUCCUCACCGGCGUUGCCGGCGUCGUCACCGGCGUCGUCGCCUCUCCUUUCUCUCGCCUCUCACCC